rnacentral:rRNA from 1 species
AACGAACGCUGGCGGCGUGCUUAACACAUGCAAGUCGAACGAGAAAGCGGGCUUCGGUCCGCUAGUAAAGUGGCAGACGGGUGAGUAACACGUGGGUAACCUGCCCGGAGGUGGGGGACAACCCUCCGAAAGGAGGGCUAAUACCGCAUGAUAUCCCUGAGGCUUCGGCCUUGAGGAUCAAAGCUAGCCUCUACAUGUAAGCUAGCUCCACCGGAGGGGCCCGCGGCCCAUUAGCUAGUUGGGAGGUAACGGCUCACCAAGGCGACGAUGGGUAGCCGGCCUGAGAGGGUGUUCGGCCACACUGGAACUGAGACACGGUCCAGACUCCUACGGGAGGCAGCAGUGAGGAAUCUUGCGCAAUGGGCGAAAGCCUGACGCAGCGACGCCGCGUGGAGGACGAAGGUCUUCGGAUCGUAAACUCCUGUCAAGUGGGACGAAGGCUGUUGGGAUGAAUAAGCCCAGCAGUUGACGGUA